GCAAGUGUGGUGUAGUGGUUCAGAGCACUGGACUCGUAAUCUGGUGAACCGGGUUCGCUUCCCCGCUCCUCCACAUGCA
rnacentral:tRNA from 1 species